rnacentral:rRNA from 1 species
UCGAGCGAACGGACGAGAAGCUUGCUUCUCUGAUGUUAGCGGCGGACGGGUGAGUAACACGUGGAUAACCUACCUAUAAGACUGGGAUAACUUCGGGAAACCGGAGCUAAUACCGGAUAAUAUUUUGAACCGCAUGGUUCAAAAGUGAAAGACGGUCUUGCUGUCACUUAUAGAUGGAUCCGCGCUGCAUUAGCUAGUUGGUAAGGUAACGGCUUACCAAGGCAACGAUGCAUAGCCGACCUGAGAGGGUGAUCGGCUACACUGGAACUGAGACACGGUCCAGACUCCUACGGGAGGCAGCAGUAGGGAAUCUUCCGCAAUGGGCGAAAGCCUGACGGAGCAACGCCGCGUGAGUGAUGAAGGUCUUCGGAUCGUAAAACUCUGUUAUUAGGGAAGAACAUAUGUGUAAGUAACUGUGCACAUCUUGACGGUACCUAAUCAGAAAGCCACGGCUAACUACGUGCCAGCAGCCGCGGUAAUACGUAGGUGGCAAGCGUUAUCCGGAAUUAUUGGGCGUAAAGCGCGCGUAGGCGGUUUUUUAAGUCUGAUGUGAAAGCCCACGGCUCAACCGUGGAGGGUCAUUGGAAACUGGAAAACUUGAGUGCAGAAGAGGAAAGUGGAAUUCCAUGUGUAGCGGUGAAAUGCGCAGAGAUAUGGAGGAACACCAGUGGCGAAGGCGACUUUCUGGUCUGUAACUGACGCUGAUGUGCGAAAGCGUGGGGAUCAAAC